CGCACUCCCCGCCCUCCAGGAUCUACCUGCCAAUCACGGCUCUCUUGUGGGGACCUGCUUUUCCUGGAGAGGUGCCCGCCCACAGUCUCACUGAUCAUAAACAGCAGCAGCUGGUGGGACAGGAACCAUAGUCCACCACACUGCAAGCUGAACACUCUGAAUUACUCUCGAAGCGAUGAUCGCGCUGGUUCUACUCGUUGGCGUCCUGCUCUUGAGCCAGGGCGUCCAGAUAGGGGAACCGUCUUCUCUGCGCUGCGAUAAAGUGGCGGGACAUUGCCUCGCGUCGCCCUGCCCGGACGGGUAUAAUGAGGAAAUUGGCUUCUGCGACGACGGCACAAGUUGCUGCUACAUGUGACCCCAACCCUUCCCCACCCCACAAUGAGAUUCUAAACAGAGCAUGGAAACUCCGUCAGUCUCUUUUUGGGAGAUCAAGAUGUGUUUUGGGAGAUGGGAGCCAACACGUACUGAUGCCGGACAAGCGAGAAGAGAGACAAGCGCUGAAAUAAAGCCAUGAACAUAAA